UUCAGAUAGAAAGUGAGGCCAGAAAGUACUGUGUUGAAGCAGCACAAUCCAAUGUUACACUUGCAGACACGAUCUCAAGGCCAAAGGAUGAUUCUGCCAAUUUUUCAAAAAUUCAAUAUAUUGUUCCAUAGGAUUUUCCUUCAAUUGUCGUAACUGAAAAGAUGGUAUCAAUUUUACAACAUUCUGAUCCAUCUAAUGUACCAGAAUCUGUCAUUAACAAAAGACCUGAAGAGAUGCUGAUUGAGCAGCAACAGAUAUUGCAGAAUACAAACAAUACUGCAUACAGUAUCUCUUCUAGUUCACAGGCUGGGCAACUGCUUGUUUUUUAGGGUGAGGCUUUAAAUCCGAAUUCAUCAUCAGUUUUGGUUCCUUCUGAGCAUACCAAAACAGAUGAUAUUAUCAAAGGACAGAACCAAUGUUGCAAUGUCAUGCAUAUAGGAAGUGAGUCCACAAAGUACUGUGUUGUAGCAGCCCAAUCCAAUGUUACACCUGCAGACACUAUCCCAAGGCCAAAAGAAUCUAGCAUUAAAAAACCUGAAGAGAUGCUGUUUGAGCAGCAACAGAUUGACACUAUCCCAAGGCCAAAGGAAUCUGGCAUUAAAAAAAUACCUGAAGAGAUGUUGUUUGAGCAGCAACAGAUAUUGCAAAAUUCAAACAAUACUGCAUACAGUAUAUCUUCUAGUUCAC
rnacentral:lncRNA from 1 species